rnacentral:tRNA from 1 species
GUGGGUACAGCUCAGUGGUAGAGUGUGUGCUUGACAUGCAUGAGGUCCCGGGUUCAAUCCCUAGGACCUCCA